CCUACGGGUGGCAGCAGUGAGGAAUAUUGGUCAAUGGACGAGAGUCUGAACCAGCCAAGUAGCGUGAAGGAUGACUGCCCUAUGGGUUGUAAACUUCUUUUAUAUGGGAAUAAAAUGUUCCACGUGUGGGAUUUUGUAUGUACCAUAUGAAUAAGGAUCGGCUAACUCCGUGCCAGCAGCCGCGGUAAUACGGAGGAUCCGAGCGUUAUCCGGAUUUAUUGGGUUUAAAGGGAGCGUAGGUGGAUUGUUAAGUCAGUUGUGAAAGUUUGCGGCUCAACCGUAAAAUUGCAGUUGAAACUGGCAGUCUUGAGUACAGUAGAGGUGGGCGGAAUUCGUGGUGUAGCGGUGAAAUGCUUAGAUAUCACGAAGAACUCCGAUUGCGAAGGCAGUUCACUGGACUGCAACUGACACUGAGGCUCGAAAGUGUUGGUAUCAAACAGGAUUAGAUACCCUUGUAGUC
rnacentral:rRNA from 1 species